rnacentral:rRNA from 1 species
GACGAACGCUGGCGGCGUGCUUAACACAUGCAAGUCGAACGGUGAAGCAGAGCUUGCUCUGUGGAUCAGUGGCGAACGGGUGAGUAACACGUGAGUAACCUGCCCUUGACUCUGGGAUAAGCGUUGGAAACGACGUCUAAUACCGGAUACGAGCUGAGACCGCAUGGUCAUCAGUUGGAAAGAUUUUUUGGUCAAGGAUGGACUCGCGGCCUAUCAGCUUGUUGGUGAGGUAAUGGCUCACCAAGGCGACGACGGGUAGCCGGCCUGAGAGGGUGACCGGCCACACUGGGACUGAGACACGGCCCAGACUCCUACGGGAGGCAGCAGUGGGGAAUAUUGCACAAUGGGCGCAAGCCUGAUGCAGCAACGCCGCGUGAGGGAUGACGGCCUUCGGGUUGUAAACCUCUUUUAGCAGGGAAGAAGCGAAAGUGACGGUACCUGCAGAAAAAGCACCGGCUAACUACGUG